rnacentral:rRNA from 1 species
UGAGUAGAGUGGCGCACGGGUGAGUAACGCGUGGGUAAUCUACCCUUGGAUUUGGGAUAACUCUGCGAAAGUGGAGCUAAUACCGGAUAGUCUGGCUUUAAAUAAGAAGUCGGUAAAGGAUGCCUCUGCAUAUGCAUUCGUCCGAGGAUGAGCCCGCGUCUCAUUAGCUAGUUGGUAGGGUAAUGGCCUACCAAGGCAACGAUGAGUAGCUGGUCUGAGAGGAUGAUCAGCCACACUGGAACUGAAACACGGUCCAGACUCCUACGGGAGGCAGCAGUGGGGAAUAUUGCGCAAUGGGCGAAAGCCUGACGCAGCAACGCCGUGUGAGGGAUGAAGGCUUUCGGGUCGUAAACCUCUGUCGGAAGGGAAGAACGGGCAUUGGUCUAAUAGGCCUUUGUUUUGACGGUACCUUUAGAGGAAGCACCGGCUAACUCCGUGCCAGCAGCCGCGGUAAUACGGAGGGUGCAAGCGUUAUUCGGAAUUACUGGGCGUAAAGCGCACGUAGGCGGCCUUGUAAGUCAGGGGUGAAAUCCCACGGCUCAACCGUGGAACUGCCUUUGAAACUGCAGGGCUUGAAUCCUGGAGAGGGUGGCGGAAUUCCUGGUGUAGGAGUGAAAUCCGUAGAUAUCAGGAGGAACACCGGUGGCGAAGGCGGCCACCUGGACAGGCAUUGACGCUGAGGUGCGAAAGUGUGGGGAGCAAACAGGAUUAGAUACCCUGGUAGUCCACACCGUAAACGAUGGAUACUAGGUGUCGGGGACUUGAUCUUCGGUGCCGUAGCUAACGCGUUAAGUAUCCCGCCUGGGGAGUACGGUCGCAAGGCUGAAACUCAAAGAAAUUG